UUUGAUGUGAAUUGAUUAUGUUUGGAUACACUUAUUUAAAAGUGAUUCUUAUGAGUUGAUGUUGUUUGGAUAG
rfam:Medicago truncatula strain A17 chromosome 2, whole genome shotgun sequence.